rnacentral:rRNA from 1 species
GAUGAACGCUGGCGGCGUGCCUAAUACAUGCAAGUCGAGCGAACGGACGCGAAGCUUGCUUCUCUGAUGUUAGCGGCGGACGGGUGAGUAACACGUGGAUAACCUACCUAUAAGACUGGGAUAACUUCGGGAAACCGGAGCUAAUCCCGGAUAAUAUUUUGAACCGCAUGGUUCAAAGGUGAAAGACGGUCUUGCUGGCACUUCUAGAUGGAUCUGCGCUGCAUUAGCUGGUUGGUAAGGUAAAGGCUUACCAAGGCAACGAUGCAUAGACGACCUGAGAGGGUGAUCGGCGACACUGGAACGGAGACGCGGUCCAGACUCCUACGGGAGGCAGCAGUCGGGAACGUGACGCAGUGGGGGAAAGCCUGACGGAACAACGCGGCGUCAGUUAUGGAGGUGUUCGGUGCGUAAAGCCCGGUUACUAGGGAAGAACAGAUGUCGAAGGAACUGUGCACAGAUUGACGGUAACGAAUCAGAAAGCCCCGGCUAACUACGUG